GGGGAGUGAUGAUUCGCAGUUUUACUGCUGGCACCAGACAGAGAGGUCCAAAAGGGCCUCCAUGUUGAACAUUAUUGGAGCUGUCUGACCCC
rnacentral:snoRNA from 1 species